rnacentral:rRNA from 1 species
GUGGGGAAUUUUGGACAAUGGGCGCAAGCCUGAUCCAGCAAUGCCGCGUGCAGGAAGAAGGCCUUCGGGUUGUAAACCGCUUUUGUCAGGGAAGAAAUCCUUUGGGUUAAUACCUCGGAGGGAUGACGGUACCUGAAGAAUAAGCACCGGCUAACUACGUGCCAGCAGCCGCGGUAAUACGUAGGGUGCGAGCGUUAAUCGGAAUUACUGGGCGUAAAGCGUGCGCAGGCGGUUUUGUAAGAUCGAUGUGAAAUCCCCGGGCUCAACCUGGGAACUGCAUUGGUGACUGCAAGGCUGGAGUGCGGCAGAGGGGGAUGGAAUUCCGCGUGUAGCAGUGAAAUGCGUAGAUAUGCGGAGGAACACCGAUGGCGAAGGCAAUCCCCUGGGCCUGCACUGACGCUCAUGCACGAAAGCGUGGGGAGCAAACAGGAUUAGAUACCCCAGUAGUCC